UCGCAAUAGCCAUAAUGGAUACAGCUUAUUAAUAUUACAUCUUAGAGUUGGUUUCGACGCAUGUGGUGCGUGUGCUAAAGUUAAGGUUUCAAUAGACUUUACCAGAAAUUAUACCAACGCUAAGAAACCACUCACACCAAUUCAAGAGUGUUUGUCUGGUGACAUCGUUUAGGGUUUCUCCAGCUCGAGCUGUCUUCUGAAUCUGAAGCAUCAUUUUGUGUGCAGCGUCAUGCUUUGCUUUCAUUAAUAAUUUGAUUUGAACACUCUGUUUGGUAUGGUCUGUGUAGUGUGUGUUUUUACAUUUCAGUAUAUAACGUGAGUAAGAGUUGAGUAUGACUGUAAACACAUUGCUGGGUAUUAUUUCAGGCAUUGCCAUGACAAAAAUGGAAGCAAAGCAUGACGCUGCCUACAAAGUGAUGUUUCAGAAAAGGAAGACAGCUCGAACUGGAGAAAGCCUAAACAAUGUCACCAGACAAACUGGCCAAACUGUCUACCAUCCUGUUAAAACCAACCCAAAAAACUAGCCUUCAAUGUCUCAGAACCUUUAACAACACUUACAUUAACGUGUGGGACACCAUUGAGGCUGGAUGGGAAACAACCUUGUUAGGUGACAGCAUUCUGUCCAAGUUGCUGAAAGCUAAUGUCAUAAUCUUUGGACAAUUCGAUGCUGCACGUAUCCUGCAAUUUGUGCCUACACAAGUUUCCAGUUUUAUUUUGUGAAAUUUUCUAUGGUGUUGUGUGCACAUGGGAAGUCCUAAUACAAAGUUUUAUUGGACACAUUAA